rnacentral:sRNA from 1 species
GCCAGGCACAGAGGUGCAUGCCUGUAAUCCCAGCUGCUCAGGAGGCUGAGGCAAGAGGAUCUUGAGUUCAAAGCUAGUUCAGCAACUUAUCGAGGCACUAAGCUAUUCAAUGAGACCGUGUCUCUA